rnacentral:rRNA from 1 species
AUUGAACGCUGGCGGCAGGCCUAACACAUGCAAGUCGAGCGGAUGAGUGGAGCUUGCUCCAUGAUUCAGCGGCGGACGGGUGAGUAAUGCCUAGGAAUCUGCCUGGUAGUGGGGGACAACGUUUCGAAAGGAACGCUAAUACCGCAUACGUCCUACGGGAGAAAGCAGGGGACCUUCGGGCCUUGCGCUAUCAGAUGAGCCUAGGUCGGAUUAGCUAGUAGGUGAGGUAAUGGCUCACCUAGGCGACGAUCCGUAACUGGUCUGAGAGGAUGAUCAGUCACACUGGAACUGAGACACGGUCCAGACUCCUACGGGAGGCAGCAGUGGGGGAAUAUUGGACAAUGGGCGAAAGCCUGAUCCAGCCAUGCCGCGUGUGUGAAGAAGGUCUUCGGAUUGUAAAGCACUUUAAGUUGGGAGGAAGGGCAGUAAGUUAAUACCUUGCUGUUUUGACGUUUACCAACAGAAUAAGCACCGGCUAACUUCGUGCCAGCAGCC